GGAUCAGUAUGUUGGUCGUGCUUCGGUACGUACUGUCAUUACUGGUUUCUCCCUUCUGAAGAACCUUGAUGUCAUUAAUUUGGUGUCUUGGGGAAUCAGGACUGUUACUUUGAAAAAAUUAGAGUGUUUAAAGCAGGCAUACGCUUGAAUACAUUAGCAUGGAAUAAUGAAAUAGGACGUUUGAUUCUAUUUUGUUGGUUUCUAGGAUCGACGUA
rnacentral:rRNA from 4 species